rnacentral:rRNA from 1 species
GUGUCAGCAGCCGCGGUAAUACGGAGGGUGCGAGCGUUGCUCGGAAUCACUGGGCGUAAAGCGUACGCAGGCUGUCUCGUAAGUCGGGUGUGAAAGCCCGGGGCUCAACCCCGGAAUUGCGCCCGAGACUGCGGGGCUUGAAUGCGGGAGAGGGAAGCGGAAUUCCUGGUGUAGAGGUGAAAUUCGUAGAUAUCAGGAGGAACACCGGUGGCGAAAGCGGCUUCCUGGCCCGACAUUGACGCUCAUGUACGAGAGCGUGGGGAGCAAACAGGAUUAGAUACCCUGGUAGUCCACGCUGUAAACGAUGAGUGCUAGCUGCUGGGAAUGUCUACCGUCUCAGUGGCGAAGCUAACGCAUUAAGCACUCCGCCUGGGAAGUACGGCCGCAAGGCUAAA